rnacentral:other from 1 species
UACAAGCUGCAUUGUGCGUAUGAAUAUUAAGUUUUAACCUUUAUGCUGUAACAGGGAGUUUUAUAUAGAGCCGGAAUGACAAGCUUCAUUCUCUUUUAGACAAUGAAGACAUGCAAAGAAGGUAUCUGCGAACACCCACUUUGAGGAGUGGUGGUUUAAAACUUUCAUAUAAGAUACGGCAAAGGCGGCUUCCUA